AACGAACGCUGGCGGCAGGCCUAACACAUGCAAGUCGAACGCUGCAGCAAUGCAGAGUGGCAGACGGGUGAGUAACGCGUGGGAACCUUCCCAGUGGUACGGAAUAGCUCAGGGAAACUUGAGGUAAUACCGUAUAAGCCCCUUGGGGGAAAGAUUUAUCCCCAUUGGAUGGGCCCGCGUCGGAUUAGCUAGUUGGUGAGGUAAUGGCUCACCAAGGCGACGAUCCGUAGCUGGUCUGAGAGGAUGAUCAGCCACACUGGGACUGAGACACGGCCCAGACUCCUACGGGAGGCAGCAGUGGGGAAUAUUGGACAAUGGGCGCAAGCCUGAUCCAGCCAUGCCGCGUGAGUGACGAAGGCCUUAGGGUUGUAAAGCUCUUUUGGCGGGGACGAUAAUGACGGUACCCGCAGAAUAAGCUCCGGCUAACUUCGUGCCAGCCGCCGCCGUAA
rnacentral:rRNA from 1 species